rnacentral:rRNA from 1 species
GACGAACGCUGGCGGCGUGCUUAACACAUGCAAGUCGAACGGAAAGGCCCUGCUUUUGUGGGGUGCUCGAGUGGCGAACGGGUGAGUAACACGUGAGUAACCUGCCCUUGACUUUGGGAUAACUUCAGGAAACUGGGGCUAAUACCGGAUAGGAGCUCCUGCUGCAUGGUGGGGGUUGGAAAGUUUCGGCGGUUGGGGAUGGACUCGCGGCUUAUCAGCUUGUUGGUGGGGUAGUGGCUUACCAAGGCUUUGACGGGUAGCCGGCCUGAGAGGGUGACCGGCCACAUUGGGACUGAGAUACAGCCCAGACUCCUACGGGAGGCAGCAGUGGGGAAUAUUGCACAAUGGGCGGAAGCCUGAGGCAGCAACGCCGCGUGCGGGAUGACGGCCUUCGGGUUGUAAACCGCUUUCGCCUGUGACGAAGCGUGAGUGACGGUAAUGGGUAAAGAAGCACCGGCUAACUACGUG